rnacentral:tRNA from 1 species
GUUUAAUGGUAGUUUAAUAUGAGAAUAAUAAUUUGUGGUAUUAUAGGUGAUAAUUAAUAUCUCUAGACC